rnacentral:rRNA from 1 species
GGAGGCGCAUGCCCUUUCCGCCAAAGGAGGCGACUCCGGUGCCGGCUGGGCACGCGUGACAUUAGCUAGUUGGCGGGGCGACGGCCCACCAAGGCGACGAUGUCUAGGGGUUCUGAGAGGAAGGUCCCCCACACUGGUACUGAGACACGGACCAGACUCCUACGGAAGGCAGCAG